rnacentral:rRNA from 1 species
UACGAAGGGGGCUAGCGUUGCUCGGAAUCACUGGGCGUAAAGGGUGCGUAGGCGGGUCUUUAAGUCAGGGGUGAAAUCCUGAAGCUCAACUCCAGAACUGCCUUUGAUACUGAGGAUCUUGAGUUCGGGAGAGGUGAGUGGAACUGCGAGUGUAGAGGUGAAAUUCGUAGAUAUUCGCAAGAACACCGGUGGCGAAGGCGGCAUCCUGGACCGGCAUUGACGCUGAGGCGCGAAAGCCAGGGGAGCAAACGGG